GGAGAUACGUAACUCAACCUACCUAGUGAUUAAUCCAAAAUGAAAGCAUUAUUUCUCCUAGUAUGCAUUCUCUUUGCUUCCUCUCUCUUUGUUCCCACUUCCACCAUGGCCCGGGAUAUUCAGGGAUAUCCCACUUAUGUCAAACCACCAAAACCAAAUACACAGCUGCAUGCUCGAAAUCAUGAUCCUGGUGAGUGUACGAUCUAUAGUCGCUGCCGUUCUGUACCUCCCGUUGCACCUGUACCUUGAAUGUGGUGUGGGAAAGCCAUGGAGGUCUAUUGGCAAAUUUAUAAUGGGAAUAUAUCUAUAAAGCUAAUAAUAAGUUGCCAACCAGUUCAUGAAUUUGCAGUUGCCAUGAUUUGUGUUUUGAAGACUACUACUAGCAUACUUUGUUUAGGAUAUAUCAAACAGAGGAUUAAUUUUUAAUUUUUAUUACUAUUAUUAUAUAUAUAAUUUGAGAUAUAAAAUUUUAUUAUUUUGUUAUAAUUACCUUUUAAUUAUUUUUCAUCCAAAAUCUUAAUCUUGCCACUAAUAUAAUAUAUAUGUAGUAUUGUUUGUGCAAUAAAUAGUUCCUAAAAGCUCAUGAGUUCCUGUUAUAUAAUUCAACAACUGGUUGAAUUCAGCACUUUCUAUAUAUGUAAUGUAUUCAAUAAAAAGCGAGGGAUAGUUUAAACUUGUAUAAUCAA